rnacentral:rRNA from 1 species
CAGAAGCCACGGUAAUACGAAGGGGGCUAGCGUUGUUCGGAUUUACUGGGCGUAAAGCGCACGUAGGCGGACUUUUAAGUCAGGGGUGAAAUCCCGGGGCUCAACCCCGGAACUGCCUUUGAUACUGGAAGUCUUGAGUAUGGUAGAGGUGAGUGGAAUUCCGAGUGUAGAGGUGAAAUUCGUAGAUAUUCGGAGGAACACCAGUGGUGAAGGCGGCUCACUGGACCAUUACUGACGCUGAGGUGCGAAAGCGUGGGGAGCAAACAGGAUUAGAUACCCGCGUAGUCCCUGUCUCUUAUAU